UAGGGAAUCUUCCGCAAUGGACGCAAGUCUGACGGAGCAACGCCGCGUGAGUGAAGAAGGAUUUCGGCUCGUAAAACUCUGUUGUUAGAGAAGAACAGCGCAUAGAGUAACUGUUAUGCGUGUGACGGUAUCUAACCAGAAAGCCACGGCUCACUACGUGCCAGCAGCCGCGGUAAUACGUAGGUGGCAAGCGUUGUCCGGAUUUAUUGGGCGUAAAGCGAGCGCAGGCGGUCAAUUAAGUCUGAUGUGAAACCCCCCGGCUCAACCGGGGAGGGGCAUUGGAAACUGGUUGACUUGAGUGCAGCAGAGGACAGUGGAAUUCCAUGUGUAGCGGUGAAAUGCGUAGAUAUAUGGAGGAACACCAGUGGCGAAGGCGACUCUUUGGUCUGUAACUGACGCUGAGGCUCGAAAGCGUGGGUAGCAAACAGG
rnacentral:rRNA from 1 species